CACUUCAGCCUUCCUGCAGCCCUGGGCGCACAAGCAUGAGGGUAAAAGGAAACCAAAUGGCAAAACAGACAGUGGAAAGAACAUGGGUCUUCAGGGAAGUUGUUGUGACUCUCAGUUUUCCAAGCAUCAAACCAUUUGGACGCUGGAACUCCACCGUCUCCAGGUCAGUGAGCUUCUGCCUUCAAGCUUUGCACGACUGUGAAAAUCCGGGUGUGUUCACUACUGCUAGCAAGGGAUGACGGAGCAGUGGGAGUGUGACUCCUGGGAUGUGUGAAGACGGGGAGAGGAGGAAAGAACAGCUGACAGCAUUCAUGGUCAUCAGAUGGACAUAGUUAUGAACAAGAGCCUCGAACACAGCCAAGACCAACAGGGCACGGGCUCUGUCCGAGAGCACUGAGCAUUCCACAGACGAUGGUCGUUCAUCAUCAUCACGUGUUGAGGGGAUGGAGGGACCCCUGGACAGACUUUACAUGGGGACUUUCCCCAGUUUCAGAGACCCAGGGAACGUGUUCAACACCGUCAUCCUCUGUAAGACCACCCCCCUCACACAGAC